rnacentral:rRNA from 1 species
UACGUAGGGCGCAAGCGUUUAUCCGGAAUUAUUGGGCGUAAAGAGCUCGUAGGCGGUUUGUCGCGUCUGCCGUGAAAGUCCGGGGCUCAACCCCGGAUCUGCGGUGGGUACGGGCAGACUAGAGUGAUGUAGGGGAGACUGGAAUUCCUGGUGUAGCGGUGAAAUGCGCAGAUAUCAGGAGGAACACCGAUGGCGAAGGCAGGUCUCUGGGCAUUAACUGACGCUGAGGAGCGAAAGCAUGGGGAGCGAACAGG